UACGAAGGGGGCUAGCGUUGCUCGGAAUGACUGGGCGUAAAGGGCGCGUAGGCGGCUUGCACCGUCAGAUGUGAAAUUCCUGGGCUUAACCUGGGGGCUGCAUUUGAUACGUGUGGGCUUGAGUGCGGAAGAGGGUCGUGGAAUUCCCAGUGUAGAGGUGAAAUUCGUAGAUAUUGGGAAGAACACCAGUGGCGAAGGCGGCUCACUGGCCCGGUACUGACGCUGAGGUGCGAAAGCGUGGGGAGCAAACAGG
rnacentral:rRNA from 1 species